UUAUAAUGCUGCUGUUCAUUUUUCAUUUAUAUAUAAAUGAAUGCCUACCUAUUAAAAUAAAUCUCUCUUCACCUGUACACUGUCUGUGCAAAAGGGCGGGGGUUGUGCGUCUGAAGGAUCGCUCGGCUGCCCAAUCAGAGCGCAGCGUGCGCGCCGGAAGAUCGCUGCAGCAGCAGCAGUAACAGCAGCACACGGGACCGAAAUGGCGUAGCGCGCAGUCCACUGCUGCAGCAGCACAGCGGGGCCAGGCUCACCGAACAUCCCAGAGCCUGGCCCGUCGUACUCCAACCGACGAGUAUGAUGGAGGUGACUUUUAGUUCCAGUUCACUUGCUUCGAAACCAGCACGAGAUCACCGGAGACGAACAGUGCCCUUCAUAUGUCAUAUCACGAAGAGAAAGGAACAGUCCUGGAAGGAGCUCAUGACCAGGUAGAUAAGAUCGUCAUGUCUUUGUUCUUCAAACUGCUCUCCACCCCGAUAAGUUGACUUUCCUCCAGCGUUAUUUCAGGGAAGUGUAUGUUCAGCAUACCAACUGUCACUGGUCUAUGAAAAUAUCAUCUCUGCACUUUGGAGACGACAACUGAAGUUGUUUUUAUCCAUGAAAGAACCAUAAACUCUUCAUGUGUCCAAAAAAGUUAAGUAACACAAUUGUGCCACAGUGAAGAGACAUCAUCUGGUCAUAUUUGUUAUAAAUAAAUCAAGUGGAGUAUUUAUAUGUUGCAGGUUGUGUUAAAAUUAAGUGAAAAAGGAAAUGGUGAAAGUGCACUUGCUUUGCAGGUAAAACAAAUGCACAUUUAAAAAUUAAAUCAUGCAAGCAAGACAAAGUAGCUUCAUCCAACAGUUUUAUUAUCUGCGGAUAAAGUGCCUAGACACAGAUCUUUUUAAAAUCUUCUGUCUCUUGUUUGUCUAUUUCCAUGGCUUAGCUUUAAACCUACAAGAAAAGCACUACUUGGUCAUUUAUUUAGUCUUGAAAAUGCCUGAAAAUGUCAUUUCUGAGAUAACAAACUGUAGGCAGAUAGCUGUUCUCUUAAUUCAGAACUCAUAUUGGUGCUUUUGCAAAACCAUGCUUUCAUGUUUUCUAUGUACUUGACAAACCAAGACAGACGGUGUGGCACACUGACCCGAGCAUAAGCUUUAUAAAUUCCACAGUUAAACCUUUCUAGUGGGAGUGGGGUGCUAAUGAGAUGCAGGACAUGAUGAAUUAUAAUUAUUUUACUACCUCAGAAGUUACCACAGCUCAGACCCACACAGCGAACACUCUAUAUUCACAUGCUUUUCUUACAGUAAUGUAAAUAGAGUCAUUGUCUGUCAAAUGGUUUGGGAAUCAGUUGGAAGAGGAGUGAGCAUGUUUCUUUUCACUUCUUGUACAUUAUUUUAUUAAUAGGUUUGGAAAUGGUUUUGCAAAUCAUAUUGUGACCUUGUAGUUCACUGGUUGUACACACGUUUGGAAUAAUUAUUGUUUUUAACUGUUUUUGAAAGAAGUCUCUUUGAAAAGGCUGCAUUGAUUUGAUAAAAAUACAGUAAAAACAGUCAUAUUGGAAAAUAUUAUUAAAAUUUAAAAUAACUGGUUUCUAUUUGAAUAUUUUUUUUUAAAUGUCAUUUAUUCCUGUGAUGGCAAAGCUGAAUUUUCAGCAGGCAUUACUUGGUGUCACAUUAUCCUUCAUUAUUGUUAUCAUUGUAGAAAAAACUUUUUGCUGCUUAAGAUUUUUGUAGAGCCCAUGAGAUAUUUGUACAUGAUUUGAGUAAUAGAAAGUUAACUGAACAACAUUUAAUAGAAAGAUUUAGAUUUGUUUUGUAACAUUAUUAUCUUUACUGUCACUUUUGAUCAAUGUAAUGCAUUCUCGCUGAAUAAAAGUAUUAAUUUCUUUUUUUAAAUCAUACUUAUCCUAGCUUUUAAAUUAACUGAACAAGGACGUGCAUCACAGUCUCCAUAAAAAUAUUAAGAAGCAAAAAUUUAUUUCAGUGUUGAUAAAAAUAAGAUAUUAGAUUGUGUCCUGAAGGAUCAUGUGACACUGAAGAUUGAAACAAUGUAUGCUGAAAAUGCCGAAAUUACAUUUCGAAAUUAUAUUAAAAUCGAAAACAGUUAUUAAAAAUUGUAAAAACAUAUUUUACAAUAUGACUGUUUUUACUAAAUUUUUGAUCAAGUAAAUAUAGCCUUGAUGAGCAUAAAAACAUAAAAUCAAAUACAUAAAAACACAUUUUUAAAAAAUCUGAAUUAUUCCACAGGUUUGGCUGCCAGUCUCUAUGUUUUCCAAGAGAACAUGUAGAGUGAAAUAAACAUGCCAUUUUCAUCCAGUAACAUCCUCAUGGUUAUUAUCCUCAUUACGCCUGAAGAAAGGCAGUAGAAUGGUUAAAUGUUAGACCCUGGUCACAACAUUUUGAAAUAUUUGUUAAUAGUUUAGUAUGUUUUAAUGUAUCACCUCAAAUAGAUUAUGGCAAGUUGGUCACAGCCUGUGCUCGGUCCUCAGCUACAGUGCACUGGGAGGAUAGGAAUUUAACUUCAUCUGUAGUGAGAAAAUGUAUCCAGUUUUUGUUUGUACAGUAGUUUCUAUCAAAUGGAUUGGUAGAAGGAGGAGUCUCAUGAACUGAGUAUGAAUGUUCAUGGGAGAAGAAAGCGUAAUGAGGCCUCAGUGUGGGAAAUGUGCAAUAUUUGUUUCUUUCCUUUGUCUUGUUUUGAGAUGAAUAUGUAUAUUGUACAAACAAGUGACAAGUUGUUCGCAAAAACAACAAAAUCACCAAUGUCUUCCAUUAAAUGAUGUAUAGUUUCAUCCGCUUGCUUUAAGGUGGCGGGAUUUGUAGUGCCAGCAUAAACAUGGCCAUGCAUGUAUGGUAGCGAUGCUUGCUGAGUUUAAUAGUCGUAGUGACAUUCAGUAUAUGCUAUAAUAAAAUUGUUUAGAAAAUAAAAUUAGGCCGAUAAUGAUUUCGUUAAUAACCACCAUGGAUGCCACAUCUCGAUAGACUUGAUCAAGAGGUGACUAGGUGAGUCAUUUUCACCUGUGCACUGCUGAGUUUGUUCAUUUUAGCUCUUAAUAGAAAAACACCAUUGUUUAUUCACAGGUAAUCACUAUUAGUUAAUAAUAAUGUGUUGUAGCAUGCUGAGGAUUAGAAAAAUGGCGGUUGGUAUUGACGUGCGGCUAGCCAUGCUGAAAAACAUAUAUGUUUCAUAAGCACUGUGUGAGUUUGUCCUAGUUUGUACUGUGCAAAAUUAAGUUGACUCAGAUCAAAAUGACAGUCCCUAACGGGCAGGAAAUAUGGCUUGGUGGCUUAGAAGAUAUUACAGGUGUUGAAGUGAAGAGUUUCAUUUGAUACCUGUUUUAAGAUAAUUCCUCAUUACGGAAAUAAAACAGAUCCUGAAAUGUUAUUUGGGCUGUAAUAAUCGGACACAAAGAAGGAUACAGUAUCCUCGUCCUGAUUAGAUAGGGUAACCUAGAACUGUGUUUGUAUUCAUACCUCUAAUAUAGCAUUCUCCAUCAGGUUAUGUUGUCUCAGACUAGAGCUGUGGGUAGAUUAUUCCUAGUAGCAGAAACUCUAGAUUUUAAAGUAACAUGUAGUUUAUUAAGUGGCAUAUAGCAAUUAUCAAAGCAUUGUAAUGUAGAUAAAUACCUCAAUGACUGGAAUGCAAACUAUAUUUUUUAAAUAUACUCAAAGAUAUGCAAGCCAUGAUGUGUAUUAAGUUCAACGUUUAGAAGCAAUAAUCAGUUUAUGCAUGAAUUAUAGUGUCGGAAUAGUUCAGUAGUGUUUGUGAAAUAGAAAUCUGUAGCAUAUUUGUGACAGUGGUAAGUGUUUGAUCCAGAGCAUCCCAUUGCUCAUAUUUCGUAGUAUAGAACUAGCUCUUAACAGUCCCAUUAUUCAUUGACACCAAAUAAAUAUGUGAAGGUAGCACCAAGGGUCUGACAAAUUUUAAAAAACUUUUAUAUUUUGGACAGGUGGAAGAAAGUUGAUAGGUGGUAAAUAUAUAUAUGCAGGGCUUAUGCCCUUCUAUUGACUUUGCAUGUUUGCAUACAAAACCAUUGUGGAACGCACAUAAGCUGUAUGUAUAUUUACAGCUUAUUUUCAUUAACAGCAAUAUGAGCACUCUGAUGAUUCAUUGUCUCAGUGAAUCCUGGGUAAACAAUAUACCACAAAACUAAAAAGAUCCAUUGGGUAUUAACUACUAUUUUUUAAUAAGAGUGCAAAAAAACAUUUGCUGAUGCAUGGUAAAAGUGGAUAAGAAAUGUUUUGUGCUGCAUGCAAUAAUUAAACUUUGCUUGAACAUAUUUAUGCAGAAACGUUAUAAAUCUGAGUGGACCAAUGUUGUGUCUUUCUUUUCAAAUGCAUGAAAUCCCAAAGGUUAAUUGCUACUGUAAAUUAUUCACAGAUGUUUUCAUUUAAAAAAAAAAGUUACUUUUUUGGAUUUGUGUAUUGUAUUAUGAAAAUGUAACAAGUCUGUGUUUCAAGAGGCAACAUAUAGUACGUUUUAGCAAAACUGACAAUUGAGUUUAAAUGGGAUAAAAUGAGAAGUUCUUUUUCAUGUUCAAUGCAAAUAGUGCAGAACAUAAGUUUAUGCUUUGACCUGAUUUGCGUUGCUUAUUUUGCCUCUGAAUGUGAAACUCUAUGCUUAGUCUGAUCUAUGCACUACAGAUGCACCCCGCAUGAUUUUGUACAAAAAAAAAUUACAUUUUAGCAAUAAAAAAGCAGCAUGGUGCCAAUCAUAAACGUGUUGAUUUCUUUCUUUAUUGUUAUUUUUUCCAUUAGUGUAAGGGACUACAUUAGACAUUUUACUUUAAUAAUAAUAAAACAUUAUAUACACAAUUAUUUACCGUUAUACAAUUCCUUUCUCUGCACAUAUGUAAAUAAAGAAAUACAAUAUGGUAACCAAGUUUGUCACAUUUUUAA
ensembl:lncRNA